rnacentral:rRNA from 1 species
UACGGGGGGGGCGAGCGUUAUUCGGAAUUAUUGGGCGUAAAGGGCGCGUAGGCGGCUUGGUAAGUCAAAGGUGAAAUCCCUCGGCUCAACUGAGGAAUUGCCUUUGAAACUGCCUGGCUUGAGGCCGGGAGGGGGUAGCGGAAUUCCCAGUGUAGCGGUGAAAUGCGUAGAUACUGGGAGGAACACCGGUGGCGAAGGCGGCUACCUGGACCGGUUCUGACGCUGAGGCGCGAAAGCGUGGGGAGCAAACAGGG